rnacentral:rRNA from 1 species
CGCUUUUGUGGGGUGCUCGAGUGGCGAACGGGUGAGUAACACGUGAGUAACCUGCCCUUGACUUUGGGAUAACUUCAGGAAACUGGGGCUAAUACCGGAUAGGAGCUCCUGCUGCAUGGUGGGGGUUGGAAAGUUUCGGCGGUUGGGGAUGGACUCGCGGCUUAUCAGCUUGUUGGUGGGGUAGUGGCUUACCAAGGCUUUGACGGGUAGCCGGCCUGAGAGGGUGACCGGCCACAUUGGAACUGAGAAACGGUCCAA